ACCGCGGGGCGGGAGCGCUGCGCAGAGGAGCGGCUUUUCGGGAGGGAAUUCUUCCCGCCGCUGCGUGUUCUCAGCCGCCGGAUCGCGCCGUGCUGCCUCUCACAUCCUCCCCAGUUACGUAGAAUGCAGCAUCAGGUGGCGGGAAACGAAAAGGAUGAGGCUCAAUGGAGAGCGGGUGCCAAAAUGGCAGCUCAUGUUGGGGUCCCUGUUUUGCAUUCUGCCCCUACUUUCAGACUUUUCUCUGGAGACUGGUAACUUUUAGGAACGAGAGAGUGGCUGUGAUUUGCACCUCGUUACGUGGAGCCGGGAAGAACGUCUUCAAAACAAAUAUUGCAGGAAUCGACAGCACUAAGAAUGCGCGCUCCAGAAGUGAAAACCAAGUGGUCUUGCUGUGACUGGCCCAUGGUGUUUAUCAUGCAGGGGAAAUGGUAGUAUUGCAGAGCUUAGGAGCAUCGUUCUGACUCAGGCGCCCAUGCCAGUGAGUUUCCACUGCCAAGCAUGUCCAUAUGUUACAUCAGUCGUUGGACACAGGAAGGUGAAAUAUAUCGCUCUUGAUUAUGAACUACCACCCGUGAUUCAAUUCAGAGCUUCAGUCUGUAGCCUGAGUGAGGCGGUUACCAGGACCAUAAUGAUCUCUCUUCUUUUAGACAAGCCCGUCCCACUCAGAGGACCCCAAGGAAGCAAUAAGCAUGGGGAUCCCAGUGCAGGUGCUUCUCCAUGCCCAUCGCCUUGCCUGCAUUGGCCUUCGAGUGGUGCUGAGAUCCCAUCCGCCUCCAGGCCCUGCUGUGGUUGCUUUCCUAUCAAAACAGAAGAACAAAACCAAAUGCGGUUAAUUAAGUGCAUGCAGUCAGUCGCCUUGCCAGCCUCUCCCAGACAAAGGCACCCCACACAUGCCUGUGUGAUACGGCUGUGUGCCGGGGAGCAGCAGGACUCAUGUCCCCACGGGGCAGGUGGCCAUGCCUUGAGUGUUCCCACUGCCAGGAACGUGAUACUUCUCAGCAGCACUGGCCGUGCUAUUUCCAGACCCACCUCCCAGACAUGCCGUGUCAUUGAUUUUUAGGCUGCAUUCACCGCUGAAAUCUCAGCAGAUUUUCAAUGGUCUGCUCCUGGCAGGCGUCGUGCACAAACAGGUUGUUUAAUAGAUUCCUUCUCCUUCAAAGGCCAUUGCAAAUAUUUAGGGCCAGUUCUGUGUAUUCUCUUCUUUGACGGGUGAUUGGAUUGCAACCUAACAAACUGAGCAACCGCUGCAGCAUGACUCGAUGAGAGAGGCUGAAGUACAGGGAAGCAAAGGGAGGAAAACUCAGUUUGGUCCAAACCUACGUGACCUCAUGAGGUCCUACAGGCACCCCUAUCUGCAGGGAUGGCAGACGUAGAGAAGCUGCAGCUUGCCCGGUGUCAAAGCAGGAACCAGAAAUAGCAUUCCCUGGGCUGGCAGGUUCCUUAAUAGCAUGAAACCAGAGCAUUUGAAACAAGUAACAUAAAAGGCAGCAUCCUAAGGCUUGACAAACACCAAGGGGUAGGUGAUUUACUACAGAAGAGAUUUUUCUUAGCUUUCAGGCCUUGCAGGCACGUGUCUUUAAUAAAUAAACCUAGCUCACCUUU
rnacentral:lncRNA from 7 species